AUUGAACGCUGGCGGCAGGCCUAACACAUGCAAGUCGAGCGGAGCGGCGGGCGGGUGAGUAAUGACUAGGAAUCUGCCUGGUAGUGGGGGAUAACGUCCGGAAACGGGCGCUAAUACCGCAUACUAUCAGAUGAGCCUAGGGGGGAUUAGCUAGGUGGUGGGGUAAGGGCCGACCAAGGCGACGAUCCGUAACUGGGCUGAGAGGGUGAUCAGCCAGACUGGAACUGAGACAAGGUCCAGACUCCUACGGGAGGCAGCAGUGGGGAGUAUUGGACAUGGGGCGAAAGCCUGAUCCAGCCAUGCCGCGUGUGUGAAGAAGGUCUUCGGAUUGUAAAGCACUUUAAGUUGGGAGGCGUUACCAACAGAAUAAGCACCGGCUAACUACGUGCCAGCAGCCGCGGUAAUAC
rnacentral:rRNA from 1 species